UGGCGGACGGGUGAGUAACGCGUAAAGAACUUGCCCUUUAGACUGGGAUAACAGAGGGAAACUUCUGAUAAUACUGGAUAAGUUAGUAUAUCGCAUGAUAUACAAAUGAAAGCUACGGCACUAAAGGAGAGCUUUGCGUCCUAUUAGCUAGUUGGUAAGGUAAGAGCUUACCAAGGCGAUGAUGGGUAGCCGGCCUGAGAGGGUGGACGGCCACAAGGGGACUGAGAUACGGCCCUUACUCCUACGGGAGGCAGCAGUC
rnacentral:rRNA from 1 species